rnacentral:rRNA from 1 species
AGCGAUGAAGCACCUUCGGGUGUGAAUUAGCGGCGAACGGGUGAGGAACACGUGAAGAAUCUGCCUUCAACUCUGGGAUAACUCCGGGAAACCGGGGCUAAUACCGGAUAUGAGCCUUGAUCGCAUGAUCGGGGCUGGAAAGUUUUUCGGUUGAAGAUGACUUCGCGGCCUAUCAGCUUGUUGGUGAGGUAAUGGCUCACCAAGGCGACGACGGGUAGCCGGCCUGAGAGGGCGACCGGCCACACUGGGACUGAGACACGGCCCAGACUCCUACGGGAGGCAGCAGUGGGGAAUAUUGGGCAAUGGAGGAAACUCUGACCCAGCGACGCCGCGUGAGGGAUGAAGGCCUUCGGGUUGUAAACCUCUUUCAGUAGGGAAGAAGCGAAAGUGACGGUACCUACAGAAGAAGCACCGGCUAACUAUGUGCCAGCAGCCGCGGUAAUACAUAGGGUGCAAGCGUUGUCCGGAAUUAUUGGGCGUAAAGAGCUCGUAGGUGGUUCGAUACGUCGGAUGUGAAAAUCAGGGGCUCAACCCCUGACCUGCAUCCGAUACGGUCGAGCUAGAGUUUGGUAGGGGAGACUGGAAUUCCUGGUGUAGCGGUGGAAUGCGCAGAUAUCAGGAGGAACACCGAUGGCGAAGGCAGGUCUCUGGGCCAAUACUGACACUGAGGAGCGAAAGCGUGGGGAGCGAACAGGAUUAGAUACCCUGGUAGUCCACGCCGUAAACGGUGGGCGCUAGUUGUGCGAACCUUCCACGGUUUGUGCGACGCAGCUAACGCAUUAAGCGCCCCGCCUGGGGAGUACGAUCGCAAGAUUAAAACUCAAAGGAAUUG